CUACCAUGCAGUCGAGCGGUAGCACAGAGAGCUUGCUCUCGGGUGACGAGCGGCGGACGGGUGAGUAAUGUCUGGGAAACUGCCUGAUGGAGGGGGAUAACUACUGGAAACGGUAGCUAAUACCGCAUAACGUCGCAAGACCAAAGUGGGGGACCUUCGGGCCUCAUGCCAUCAGAUGUGCCCAGAUGGGAUUAGCUAGUAGGUGGGGUAACGGCUCACCUAGGCGACGAUCCCUAGCUGGUCUGAGAGGAUGACCAGCCACACUGGAACUGAGACACGGUCCAGACUCCUACGGGAGGCAGCAGUGGGGAAUAUUGCACAAUGGGCGCAAGCCUGAUGCAGCCAUGCCGCGUGUGUGAAGAAGGCCUUCGGGUUGUAAAGCACUUUCAGCGGGGAGGAAGGCGUUAAGGUUAAUAACCUUGGCGAUUGACGUUACCCGCAGAAGAAGCACCGGCUAACUCCGUGCCAGCAGCCGCGGUAAUACGGAGGGUGCAAGCGUUAAUCGGAAUUACUGGGCGUAAAGCGCACGCAGGCGGUCUGUCAAGUCGGAUGUGAAAUCCCCGGGCUCAACCUGGGAACUGCAUUCGAAACUGGCAGGCUAGAGUCUUGUAGAGGGGGGUAGAAUUCCAGGUGUAGCGGUGAAAUGCGUAGAGAUCUGGAGGAAUACCGGUGGCGAAGGCGGCCCCCUGGACAAAGACUGACGCUCAGGUGCGAAAGCGUGGGGAGCAAACAGGAUUAGAUACCCUGGUAGUCCACGCCGUAAACGAUGUCGAUUUGGAGGUUGUGCCCUUGAGGCGUGGCUUCCGGAGCUAACGCGUUAAAUCGACCGCCUGGGGAGUACGGCCGCAAGGUUAAAACUCAAAUGAAUUGACGGGGGCCCGCACAAGCGGUGGAGCAUGUGGUUUAAUUCGAUGCAACGCGAAGAACCUUACCUGGUCUUGACAUCCACAGAACUUUCCAGAGAUGGAUUGGUGCCUUCGGGAACUGUGAGACAGGUGCUGCAUGGCUGUCGUCAGCUCGUGUUGUGAAAUGUUGGGUUAAGUCCCGCAACGAGCGCAACCCUUAUCCUUUGUUGCCAGCGGUUAGGCCGGGAACUCAAAGGAGACUGCCAGUGAUAAACUGGAGGAAGGUGGGGAUGACGUCAAGUCAUCAUGGCCCUUACGACCAGGGCUACACACGUGCUACAAUGGCAUAUACAAAGAGAAGCGACCUCGCGAGAGCAAGCGGACCUCAUAAAGUAUGUCGUAGUCCGGAUUGGAGUCUGCAACUCGACUCCAUGAAGUCGGAAUCGCUAGUAAUCGUAGAUCAGAAUGCUACGGUGAAUACGUUCCCGGGCCUUGUACACACCGCCCGUCACACCAUGGGAGUGGGUUGCAAAAGAAGUAGGUAGCUUAACCUUCGGGAGGGC
rnacentral:rRNA from 1 species